rnacentral:rRNA from 1 species
AGAGUUCGAUCCUGGCUCAGGAUGAACGCUGGCGGCGUGCCUAACACAUGCAAGUCGAGCGAUUCUCUUUGGAGAAGAGCGGCGGACGGGUGAGUAACGCGUGGGUAACCUGCCCUGUACACACGGAUAACAUACCGAAAGGUAUGCUAAUACGGGAUAAUACAUAAGAGUCGCAUGACUUUUAUAUCAAAGAUUUUUCGGUACAGGACGGACCCGCGUCUGAUUAGCUUGUUGGCGGGGUAACGGCCCACCAAGGCGACGAUCAGUAGCCGACCUGAGAGGGUGAUCGGCCACAUUGGAACUGAGACACGGUCCAA